ensembl:lncRNA
ACUAACUGUGCUAUUGUGCCCAAGUUGAUACCUGUGGAGAGAAAAGGAGAGAGAGUGGAUAACGCGAGGAGAAAUAGAGCGAAACCUGUACUUACAGUACGCUGUGUCCAGCCCAGAGGUGAGAGCCAUUCAAAGCAAACUAACUGUGCUAUUGUGCCCAAGUUGAUACCUGUGGAGAGAAAAGGAGAGAGAGUGGAUAACGCGAGGAGAAAUAGAGCGAAACCUGUACUUACAGUACGCUGUGUCCAGCCCAGAGGUGAGAGCCAUUCAAAGCAAACUAACUGUGCUAUUGUGCCCAAGUUGAUACCUGUGGAGAGAAAAGGAGAGAGAGUGGGUAACACGAGGAGAGACCGAGGAAACCUGUACUUACGCCGCUGCCUGUGGAGAAAGAGAAAGCGACCGUUGCCUGUGGAGGAAGAGAAAGAGAGUGAGCACCCCGAGAACGAACUGUGUGAACCAGUACUUACCGUGAGUUGUAUUCAGCGAAGAGGAGGAAGAAGGAGGGCGCUACGGAUACCCAAGACUCUGGCCGGGCCCCGAGUCCCACGCCCCGGAUCCCCGUGGCCCCCUUGCUCCCUGACCUCUUCCCGGCCAUAGGCCAUCUGGAGGGCCGAGUCAGAGUUUAGUUUUAAUUGCCCUUUCCCUAUUCCCCAAGCUAUUUUUAAAUAUUUAAAUAAAGAUUGUUUUAUCACUUACUUGUUCUCGUGUUGUUUGGCCAUUGGGUUGGCUUUGGGGACCUCCUCGAGGUGGAAGUUGAGAAGGGGUGUGGCUUAGUCAAAGCAUAGCCGCCCCUGGGUGUGACAUAUUCAUGUUAUUUAAGGUGAUGUGCAAGGUUCUUCCAUCCACGAUAACCAUGGGUGCUUAGAGUGUUAUGUCUAAAUACAGCAUCAGUGCUCACAGAAUACAGAAGCCAUGACCUCUGGAUUUUUUUUUUUUUUUGAACUUGCCUUUUGUGAACAUUCUCAUUGGAACUUUUGAAAGUGUUUUUAGGAAAAUCAAAGUCCACAAUUUUAACUCGUCCAUUUCUAACAAUUUGACAACGAGUUUCAUCAUUUAUUAUGUCUGGCCACAACCUAGGAUCAACGCUGAGGGUUGCAGUAAGUGCAGCCUCUUCAGAUUCAGGAGGAGUAGAGGUAUCUUUUGCUGGAGAAGUAGAGGAGCUUUCUUCGGCUGGAGUGGUGGAGGUGGAGGUGGAGGUAGUAAGAAGAAGUGGGGGCGCAAUCAGUCUCAAACUGAAAUGAUGAUUGACUGCUCCUGGCUGGGUCUCGAGAGUUGACAUCUGAAGGUCCAUCACAGCCUAAAAGAAAUGUAUUAUUUAUUAUUACUAUUAUACAAAUUUUAAUUAAAAAUAAUUAUUUGAGAUCUAACACAUAUCUUCAGCUUGUGAAGAGGUGCCAUUAUCAAUUGGCACAGACAGAAAUUUAAGCAAAGCACCUAAAAAAACAUCUGGUGAAUAGCCAUACGUUUAUUGUUAUUCUCAUAGCAUAUCAUGAAAGUAAAGUGUGGAGGAUUCGAUAUUUACUUUAAAAGAAAAGAACUCCACUUCCCACAAUGCCACCGACAGUAACGUCAGACGCAAA